CAGUAGCCGCGGGAAAACGGAGGGAGCUAGCGUUGUUCGGAAUCACUGGGCGUAAAGCGCACGUUGGCGGCUAUUCAAGUCAGGGGUGAAAGCCCGGGGCUCAACCCCGGAACUGCCUUUGAAACUAGAUAGCUUGAAUCUUGGAGAGGCGAGUGGAAUUCCGAGUGUAGAGGUGAAAUUCGUAGAUAUUCGGAAGAACACCAGUGGCGAAGGCGACUCGCUGGACAAGUAUUGACGCUGAGGUGCGAAAGCGUGGGGAGCAAACAGGAUUAGAUACCCGAGUAGUCCCUGUCUCUUAUAA
rnacentral:rRNA from 1 species